GACGAACGCUGGCGGCGUGCCUAAUACAUGCAAGUCGAGCGGACUUGUAGGAGCUUGCUCCUGCAGGUUAGCGGCGGACGGGUGAGUAACACGUGGGCAACCUACCUGUAAGACUGGGAUAACUUCGGGAAACCGGAGCUAAUACCGGAUGACACUAAGGAACUCCUGUUCCUUAGUUGAAAGAUGGCUUCGGCUAUCACUUACAGAUGGGCCCGCGGCGCAUUAGCUAGUUGGUGAGGUAACGGCUCACCAAGGCGACGAUGCGUAGCCGACCGGAGAGGGUGAUCGGCAACACUGGGACUGGGACACGGGCCAGAGUCCUGCGGGAGGGAGCAGUAGGGAAUCUUCCGCAAUGGACGAAAGUCUGACGGGGCAACGGCGCGUGAGCGAUGAAGGCCUUCGGGUCGUAAGGCUCUGUUGUUAGGGAAGAACAAGUGCUAGUUAAAUAAGCUGGCACCUUGACGGUACCUAACCAGAAAGCCACGGCUAACUACGUGCCAGCAGCCGCAGUAACAC
rnacentral:rRNA from 1 species